AAGUGGUGGAGUGAUAGUUCUGCCCUUGGUAUUUUGAUGAAUGACAUUUUGCCUGUGAAGUAUGGCUAUAAUUCAUAAUUCUCGGUUCUACUUCUUUUUGGAAGUAUCUGAUUUACACCCACAUCAAGACAAAAAGAAAAAGAGGAAGAGGAGGAGGGAGAAGAAGAAGAAGAGUUAGACGGGAACAACUUGAUGCUUGAUUCGAACAGAAACGAUCCCAGGGGUAUUGUUCCUGCUGCAGUUUGGGGUUUUGAGUGAUUGUGGUCUUAUUUUCCGCGAAAGCAAGAGAAGUUGUGUGCAAAAGGCAAUUUCAACCUUAUUCAUCACAAUCAAUCUCAGCAAAAGCUUGUUCCGAAGUUCAGGCUCUGUUACUAAUCUGGUAAAACAAGAUGAUGAUAAUGGGUGUGUAGCUUUGGUGGUGGGAGUACUAGGUAAUUGAACUUUCAAUCCAUCUCUGAAAUGGCUGUUGGUUGUAUAUUGGGAGCUAGCUAGGUGCCUGCUACUUUGAGAACAACAGAACACUGUCCUGUUUGCAGCGUCAACAACACCAUCAAUUCUCAUCUGGGUAUUUUUUUUUGUUAUUUUUUUAAAUUUGUCUUCCUAUUUGGGUGCGAUUGCAUAUUACUGUAUGCUGAAGGUAUAUAGGGUAAAACAUAAUC